GCGGCACCCAUGUAGAGGAGGGGUCAGGAGUCUCCCUAGGGGCUCAGCCCCUGCCUGAUGUCACACUCAGCUCCAUGGGAACCCAACAGCUGCUGGCGACAUGCUGUCCUGGUGUGCGUUCUGAACACGGCCUUCAGGGGCACUUAACCCUGUCUGAUGGUCUUUGUUGUUCAUGGAAGAGUCGAUCACCUUCACAUUGAUUGCUACAACCAGUAUUUGGUCUCCAUGAUGCGUUUUUGAUGCUAAGAAUGUGCAAGAAGGAACACUUUUCCAUCCAUGAUUUUUGAGGGCCGGCGGGAGGCUGCAGGUCCGAGGGCUGUUGGCCACGCAGCUCACUGAUCGAGACCCGCGGGCCAGACCUGCCCUGGGCGCCUCCACUCGCCAUCCCGACUGCUGGCCCAGCAGCUGCGGUCUAAAGGAAGUAAUGCCCUCCCGGGGCAGGAUUUUAAGUUCAGCUGCUCCUCUGUCUUUCGGCUGCGGGGAUGACGACACUUAUGGUCCCCGGAGACUGAGACGCCCUCCUCCAGUGAAGCCUGGAUGGCCGCUUGGGGAGCAAGCCCGCCACACCACCCUGUGCCAACCAAAGACUCGGGGAGAAUGUUCUUCUGUCCACAGGAGAAAGGACGGCAAGCCAAGGCCCAUCCACGCCACGCACUCCACGCGUGACACCACAGAGCAUGUGUGAGCUUCACACACAUGGUGCCGAGUGAAAGACGCCAGACUCACACGUGCUGCGUUGUUCCGUCCGCGGAAGCUCGAGGGUGGGAAAGCUGAUUGGAGGCGAUGCGUCGGUGGCGGGAAGGGCACAGGGAACUUUCCGGAUGAUGGAAGUGUCGUCUGUCUUGAUGGUGUGUGGGUCACGUGGGUGUGUGUUUGUCACAAUUCUUAGAAUUGUACACAUUCAGACGCUUUAGAUUAAAAGAGAGAAGCUGGGAUUUA